AUUUAUAUGACGUAGUUAGCAAAUAUGAAGCCUGGGUAAUACCUAGGAAGGCAAGAAAGGUGAAAAUAUUGAUUCUCGAAAAGCUACCUCUAGACAAUUACAAGAUUUUAAAGUAUAUUAUGCAGUUUUUGUGGAAGGUACAAGAUCGUAGCUGCCUAAAUAAGAUGACAAGCAGCAACUUAGCUGUGGUCUUCGGGCCCAAUUUACUAUGGCCGCGGGAUGGAAAUGUUUCAUUACAAUCUAUCGGACCAAUAAACGCAUUUACCGAUUUUUUAAUCACACACCAGGAAUCCAUAUUUAUUAUUUAAAAUGUAUACGAAUUGUGAGUAACCUAUG